UCUCCGUAGGUGAACCUGCGGAGGGAUCAUUACUGAGUGAGGGCCUCCCCGUCCCGACCUCCAACUCUUUGUGAACACAACUUGUUGCUUCGGGGGCGACCCGGCCGUUUCGACGGCGAGCGCCCCCGGAGGCCUUCAAACACUGCAUCUUUGCGUCGGAGUUUAAGUAAAUUUAAACAAAACUUUCAACGACGGAUCUCUUGGUUCUGGCAUCGAUGAAGAACGCAGC
rnacentral:misc_RNA from 1 species